ACUCCUGCGGGAGGCAGCAGUGGGGAAUAUUGGACAAUGGGCGCAAGCCUGAUCCAGCCAUGCCGCGUGAGUGAUGAAGGCCCUAGGGUUGUAAAGCUCUUUCACCGGAGAAGAUAAUGACGGUAUCCGGAGAAGAAGCCCCGGCUAACUUCGUGCCAGCAGCCGCGGUAAUACGAAGGGGGCUAGCGUUGUUCGGAAUUACUGGGCGUAAAGCGCACGUAGGCGGAUCGAUCAGUCAGGGGUGAAAUCCCAGGGCUCAACCCUGGAACUGCCUUUGAUACUGUCGAUCUGGAGUAUGGAAGAGGUGAGUGGAAUUCCGAGUGUAGAGGUGAAAUUCGUAGAUAUUCGGAGGAACACCAGUGGCGAAGGCGGCUCACUGGUCCAUUACUGACGCUGAGGUGCGAAAGCGUGGGGAGCAAACAGGAUUAGAUACCCGGGUAGUCCCAUGA
rnacentral:rRNA from 1 species